rnacentral:rRNA from 1 species
UACGUAGGUGGCAAGCGUUGUCCGGAUUUACUGGGCGUAAAGAGCGCGCAGGCGGUCGUAUCAGUCGAAUGUGAAAGCCCCCGGCUCAACUGGGGAGGGUCAUUCGAUACUGUCCGACUCGAAGGCAGGAGAGGGAAGCGGAAUUCCCGGUGUAGUGGUGAAAUGCGUAGAUAUCGGGAGGAACACCGAUGGCGAAGGCAGGUCUCUGGGCCACUACUGACGCUGAGAAGCGAAAGCAUGGGGAGCGAACAGG